CCUACGGGUCGCACCAGUGGGGAAUAUAGCACAAUGGGCGCAAGCCUGAUGCAGCCAUGCCGCGUGUGUGAAGAAGGCCUUCGGGUUGUAAAGCACUUUCAGCGGGGAGGAAGGCGGUGAGAUUAAUACUCUCAUCGAUUGACGUUACCCGCAGAAGAAGCACCGGCUAACUCCGUGCCAGCAGCCGCGGUAAUACGGAGGGUGCAAGCGUUAAUCGGAAUGACUGGGCGUAAAGCGCACGCAGGCGGUUUGUUAAGUCAGAUGUGAAAUCCCCGAGCUUAACUUGGGAACUGCAUUUGAAACUGGCAAGCUAGAGUCUCGUAGAGGGGGGUAGAAUUCCAGGUGUAGCGGAGAAAUGCGUAGAGAUCUGGAGGAAUACCGGUGGCGAAGGCGGCCCCCUGGACAAAGACUGACGCUCAGGUGCGAAAGCGUGGGGAGCAAACAGGAUUAGAUACCCCAGUAGUC
rnacentral:rRNA from 1 species